rnacentral:ncRNA from 1 species
UGUUGCAAUAGUAAUUCUGCUCAGUACGAGAGGAACCGCAGAUUCAGACAAUUGGCAUUUGCACUUGGCUGAAAAGCCAAUGGUGCGAAGCUACCAUCUGUUGGAUUAUGACUGAACGCCUCUAAGUCAGAAUCCUUGCUAGAACGCAACGAUAAUUACCUCCGGAGAAUCUUAGGCGAACAAGGAUAGAGAACGGGCUUGCCCGCUCUCCUGCGUCCCAAUGUGCCAAGAGGGAAAACAACCCUCAAGGCACUAAAGUAUAUCAAAGUUUAAAAUUUCUGGAGAUAAAUCCUUCGCAGACGACUUAAAUAAAGAACGGGGUAUUGUACGUUGUAGAGUAGCCUUGUUGCUACGAUCUUCUGAGAUUAAGCCUUUGUUCUACGAUUUGU